rnacentral:rRNA from 1 species
GACGAACGCUGGCGGCGUGCUUAACACAUGCAAGUCGAACGGUGAAGCCCUGCUUUUUUUGGGUGCUCGGGUUGAGAGCGGGAGGGUUACGUAAGAGUAGCCUACCCUUCCCUUUGGUAUAACUUAAGGACACGGGGGCUUAUCCAAGACGGGAGAUUCUGCUGCUUGGUGGUGGUGGGACAGUUUCGGCGGUUGGUGAGGGACGGGCGGCUUAUCAGCGUGUUGGUGGGGUAGUGGCUGACCAGGGCUUUCACGGGUGGACGGCCUGAGAGGGUGACCGGCCAGAUUGGGACUGAGAUGCGGCGCAGCCGCCUACGGUAGGGAGCAGUGGGGAAAAGUGUGCAACGGGCGCAAGGCUGAUGCAGCGAAGCCGCGUGCGGGAUGACGGCCUUCGGGUUGUAAACCGCUUUUGCCUGGGAUGAAGCUGGAGUGACGGUAGUUGGUAAAGAAGCGCCGGCUAACUACGUG